UUGAGAAGAUCGGAAAUGUAUUUUCGGUGCGUUUGUCGGCAAAAUCCGCCGACGGAACGCGGUUUUGGUUCGGAAUUAUUCCGACAGUGCUUCGUGAGCUAUUGUGUAGUCGCUGAGCCUUGUUGGCUGGUCACCAUCAUCACAUUGUGGGUUCGGUGAUGAUGGGUGAGCGACGGUGGGUUCCGGUGUCGAAAUAGACACUUCCGGGAACCCGGAUUCGUACAACUAUCCGGUGAUAGUUGUGUAGUGUUGUGAUCUUGUGUUUACUG
rnacentral:lncRNA from 1 species